rnacentral:rRNA from 1 species
GGGUUGUGAGGUUAAGCGACUAAGCGUACACGGUGGAUGCCCUGGCAGUCAGAGGCGAUGAAGGGCGUGCUAAUCUGCGAUAAGCGCCGGUAAGGUGAUAUGAACCGUUAUAACCGGCGAUACCCGAAUGGGGAAACCCAGUGUGAUUCGUCACACUAUCAUUAACUGAAUCCAUAGGUUAAUGAGGCGAACCGGGGGAACUGAAACAUCUAAGUACCCCGAGGAAAAGAAAUCAACCGAGAUUCCCCCAGUAGCGGCGAGCGAACGGGGAGGAGCCCAGAGCCUGAAUCAGCAUGUGUGUUAGUGGAAGCGUCUGGAAAGGCGCGCGAUACAGGGUGACAGCCCCGUACACAAAAGCGCAUAUGCUGUGAGCUCGAUGAGUAGGGCGGGACACGUGGUAUCCUGUCUGAAUAUGGGGGGACCAUCCUCCAAGGCUAAAUACUCCUGACUGACCGAUAGUGAACCAGUACCGUGAGGGAAAGGCGAAAAGAACCCCGGCGAGGGGAGUGAAAAAGAACCUGAAACCGUGUACGUACAAGCAGUGGGAGCCCCACCACUAAGCCAGUGGUGAACUCCACAUACGCAUCCUUUGCUGAGGAGACGGUUAACGGAGCGAAAGCGACGUUCAACCUCAAAAGAAGCAGAGGGGGCUUAGUGGUGGGGUGACUGCGUACCUUUUGUAUAAUGGGUCAGCGACUUAUAUUCUGUAGCAAGGUUAACUGUAUAGGGGAGCCGGAGGGAAACCGAGUCUUAACCGGGCGUUAAGUUGCAGGGUAUAGACCCGAAACCCGGUGAUCUAGCCAUGGGCAGGUUGAAGGUUGGGUAACACUAACUGGAGGACCGAACCGACUAAUGUUGAAAAAUUAGCGGAUGACCUGUGGCUGGGGGUGAAAGGCCAAUCAAACCGGGAGAUAGCUGGUUCUCCCCGAAAGCUAUUUAGGUAGCGCCUCGUGAAUUCAUCUCCGGGGGUAGAGCACUGUUUCGGCUAGGGGGCCAUCCCGGCUUACCAACCCGAUGCAAACUGCGAAUACCGGAGAAUGUUAUCACGGGAGACACACGGCGGGUGCUAAUGUCCGUCGUGAAGAGGGAAACAACCCAGACCGCCAGCUAAGGUCCCAAAGUCAUGGUUAAGUGGGAAACGAUGUGGGAAGGCCCAGACAGCCAGGAUGUUGGCUUAGAAGCAGCCAUCAUUUAAAGAAAGCGUAAUAGCUCACUGGUCGAGUCGGCCUGCGCGGAAGAUGUAACGGGGCUAAACCAUGCACCGAAGCUGCGGCAGCGACACCGUGUGUUGUUGGGUAGGGGAGCGUUCUGUAAGCCUGUGAAGGUGUGCUGUGAGGCAUGCUGGAGGUAUCAGAAGUGCGAAUGCUGACAUAAGUAACGAUAAAGCGGGUGAAAAGCCCGCUCGCCGGAAGACCAAGGGUUCCUGUCCAACGUUAAUCGGGGCAGGGUGAGUCGACCCCUAAGGCGAGGCCGAAAGGCGUAGUCGAUGGGAAACGGGUUAAUAUUCCCGUACUUGGUGUUACUGCGAAGGGGGGACGGAGAAGGCUAUGUUGGCCGGGCGACGGUUGUCCCGGUUUAAGCGUGUAGGUAUGUGUUCCAGGUAAAUCCGGUUCACUUUAACACUGAGGCGUGACGACGAGGCACUACGGUGCUGAAGCAACAAAUGCCCUGCUUCCAGGAAAAGCCUCUAAGCAUCAGGUAACAUCAAAUCGUACCCCAAACCGACACAGGUGGUCAGGUAGAGAAUACCAAGGCGCUUGAGAGAACUCGGGUGAAGGAACUAGGCAAAAUGGUGCCGUAACUUCGGGAGAAGGCACGCUGACACGUAGGUGAAGUGAUUUACUCACGGAGCUGAAGUCAGCCGAAGAUACCAGCUGGCUGCAACUGUUUAUUAAAAACACAGCACUGUGCAAACACGAAAGUGGACGUAUACGGUGUGACGCCUGCCCGGUGCCGGAAGGUUAAUUGAUGGGGUCAGCGCAAGCGAAGCUCCUGAUCGAAGCCCCGGUAAACGGCGGCCGUAACUAUAACGGUCCUAAGGUAGCGAAAUUCCUUGUCGGGUAAGUUCCGACCUGCACGAAUGGCGUAAUGAUGGCCAGGCUGUCUCCACCCGAGACUCAGUGAAAUUGAACUCGCUGU